UACGUAGGGUGCGAGCGUUGUCCGGAAUUAUUGGGCGUAAAGAGCUUGUAGGCGGUCUGUCGCGUCUGCUGUGAAAAUCCGGGGCUCAACCCCGGACUUGCAGUGGGUACGGGCAGACUAGAGUGUGGUAGGGGAGACUGGAAUUCCUGGUGUAGCGGUGAAAUGCGCAGAUAUCAGGAGGAACACCAAUGGCGAAGGCAGCUCUCUGGGACGGUACUGACACUGAGACGCGAAAGCGUGGGGAGCGAACAGG
rnacentral:rRNA from 1 species